rnacentral:lncRNA from 1 species
CAAGAUACAGUGGGCUUGGUCUCUAAGUCCUAUGGCCACAUCUAAUAGUUAUUGCCAUAUUUCUUAGUUAAGUCAGAUCCAUCAUUCACCAGUGGGUGCAAAACCAUCAUUGAGACCCUUACUUAAUAGUUAUUGGGCCCAACCCCAUCUCUACCCUAGAACAUCAAAUAUCAAUAGAGUGGUUGUACAUUUCUAAUGCAACCGAACCACUGUAACCAGUCGAGAACGAUCAAUGUCAGACAGGCAUCCGCAUCUCUACAAUGAUGGAAGACCUCUAGACUAAAUAUUUAAUAAGAAGAUUUGAAUUUAGGUCUCUUCUAAAGCAGCAGAUCCAACAUCCGAUAGAUUAAAUUAGGUCAGCACAUCAAUAUGUCUAACUAUCUU